rnacentral:rRNA from 1 species
GACGAACGCUGGCGGCGUGCUUAACACAUGCAAGUCGAGCGGAGCGGCGAACGGGUGAGUAACGCGUGAGUAACUGCCCCCCUCUCUGGGAUAACAGUUGGAAACGGCUGCUAAUACCGGAUAGUGGGGGAUGACUCGCGUCCUAUCCGCUUGUUGGUGGGGUAGUGGCCUACAAAGGCGACGCCGGGUAGCCGGCCUGGGAGGGCGACCGGCCACAUUGGGCUGAGGUACGGCCCAGACGACUACGUGAGGCAGCAGUGGGGAAGAUUGCACAAUGGGGGAAACCGUGAUGAAGCAACGCGCGUGCGGGAUAACCGCCUUCGGGUUGUAAACCGCGGUCAGCCAUGACGCGGUAGUGGCAGAAGAAGCACCGGCUAACUACGUGCCAGCAGCCGCGGUAAUUC